rnacentral:rRNA from 1 species
UGGGGAAUUUUGGACAAUGGGCGAAAGCCUGAUCCAGCAAUGCCGCGUGUGUGAAGAAGGCCUUCGGGUUGUAAAGCACUUUUGUCCGGAAAGAAAUCCUUGGCUCUAAUACAGUCGGGGGAUGACGGUACCGGAAGAAUAAGCACCGGCUAACUACGUGCCAGCAGCCGCGGUAAUGACGUAGGGUGCAAGCGUUAUCGGAAUUACUGGGCGUAAAGCGUGCGCAGGCGGUUUGCUAAGACCGAUGUGAAAUCCCCGGGUCGUCAACCUGGGAACUGCAUUGGUGACUGGCAGGCUAGAGUAUGGCAGAGGGGGGUAGAAUUCCACGUGUAGCAGUGAAAUGCGUAGAGAUGGUGGAGGAAUACCGAUGGCGAAGGCAGCCCCCUGGGCCAAGUACUGACGCUCAUGCACGAAAGCGUGGGGGAGCAAACAGGAUUAGAUACCCCUGGUAGUCCACGCCCUAAAGCGAUGUCAACUAGUUGUUGGGGAUUCAUUU